AUUUUUUUCUUCUUAAAAAAAUUGGUUGUCCAUCUUGAAUCCCGGCGCGAAGAAAUUUCAAGCCACGGGCAAGUUGGAUUAGCUUUUCACCCUUUGAAUUAGCAGUGCUGAUAGUUUUUAGAAGCGGGAUAUUUAACCGACAACUGUUUUAAGAGAAAAGAAACAAUCAGUGCAAGCUUGACCCUCCUGUUCCUGCAAGGUCUAUUGUCUUUACUUUGAAGCUUUCUCUUUUGUUGGAUCAUUGAUUGAGGGUGCCAAAGCUCACAAGACAUACAAGAAAGCAAAUACAGUGGAAAUUCUAAUAAAGAAGAAGUAAUAUACAGGACCGUGCUAUAUACAAGUACAGUAUGUAUAUUUCUGAUGCGUCUAUUAUAUUGCAAAUGGCAGAAUUUGUGAUUUAGACUGUUUGCAAUUUACAUUAUUAUGUUUUUAAAAUGAGAUAAUUACUUAGAAAAUAUUCUUUGGGUCCUUGCUCUCCAGAUAUAUACAUAAAUGUUGGGCCUUAUAUUAU